rnacentral:tRNA from 1 species
GAGGGGAUAGCUCAGUGGUAGAGGGUGUGCUUAGCAUGCAGGAGGUCCUGGGUUCAAUCCCCAGUACCUCCA